UGGGGAAUUUUGGACAAUGGGCGAAAGCCUGACCCAGCAACGCCGCGUGAAGGAUGAAGUAUUUCGGUAUGUAAACUUCGUAAGAAUAGGAAGAAUAAAUGACGGUACUAUUUGUAAGGUCCGGCUAACUACGUGCCAGCAGCCGCGGUAAUACGUAGGGACCAAGCGUUGUUCGGAUUUACUGGGCGUAAAGGGCGCGUAGGCGGCAAUUCAAGUCAUCUGUGAAAUCUCCGGGCUUAACUCGGAACGGUCAGAUGAUACUGCUUUGCUAGAGUGCAGAAGGGGCAAUCGGAAUUCUUGGUGUAGCGGUGAAGUGCGUAGAUAUCAAGAGGAACACCUGAGGUGAAGACGGGUUGCUGGGCUGACACUGACGCUGAGGCGCGAAAGCCAGGGGAGCAAACGGGAUUAGAUACCCCGGUAGUCCCUGAGCGGGCUGGCAAGGCGCAU
rnacentral:rRNA from 1 species